AUACUUACCUGGGAGAGGAAAUGUCAUGUGCACAAAGGUGGUUUUCCCAGAGCGAGGCUCAUCCACUGCACUUGGGACGUGCUGACCCCUUAAACUUCCCCAAAUAGGGAAACUCGAUUGCAUAAUUUGUGAUAGUGGGGGACUGCAUUCGUGCUCUUUGCUG